rnacentral:lncRNA from 1 species
CAGCUUCCACCAAGGGCCCAUCGGUCUUCCCCCUGGCGCCCUGCUCCAGGAGCACCUCUGGGGGCACAGCGGCCCUGGGCUGCCUGGUCAAGGACUACUUCCCAGAACCGGUGACGGUGUCGUGGAACUCAGGCGCCCUGACCAGCGGCGUGCACACCUUCCCGGCUGUCCUACAGUCCUCAGGACUCUACUCCCUCAGCAGCGUGGUGACCGUGCCCUCCAGCAGCUUGGGCACCCAGACCUACACCUGCAACGUGAAUCACAAGCCCAGCAACACCAAGGUGGACAAGAGAGUUGAGCUCAAAACCCCACUUGGUGACACAACUCACACAUGCCCACGGUGCCCAGCCCAAAUCUUGUGACACACCUCCCCCGUGCCCACGGUGCCCAGAGCCCAAAUCUUGUGACACACCUCCCCCAUGCCCACGGUGCCCAGCCCAAAUCUUGUGACACACCUCCCCCGUGCCCAAGGUGCCCAGCACCUGAACUCCUGGGAGGACCGUCAGUCUUCCUCUUCCCCCCAAAACCCAAGGAUACCCUUAUGAUUUCCCGGACCCCUGAGGUCACGUGCGUGGUGGUGGACGUGAGCCACGAAGACCCCGAGGUCCAGUUCAAGUGGUACGUGGACGGCGUGGAGGUGCAUAAUGCCAAGACAAAGCCGCGGGAGGAGCAGUACAACAGCACGUUCCGUGUGGUCAGCGUCCUCACCGUCCUGCACCAGGACUGGCUGAACGGCAAGGAGUACAAGUGCAAGGUCUCCAACAAAGCCCUCCCAGCCCCCAUCGAGAAAACCAUCUCCAAAACCAAAGCCCCGAGAACCACAGGUGUACACCCUGCCCCCAUCCCGGGAGGAGAUGACCAAGAACCAGGUCAGCCUGACCUGCCUGGUCAAAGGCUUCUACCCCAGCGACAUCGCCGUGGAGUGGGAGAGCAGCGGGCAGCCGGAGAACAACUACAACACCACGCCUCCCAUGCUGGACUCCGACGGCUCCUUCUUCCUCUACAGCAAGCUCACCGUGGACAAGAGCAGGUGGCAGCAGGGGAACAUCUUCUCAUGCUCCGUGAUGCAUGAGGCUCUGCACAACCGCUUCACGCAGAAGAGCCUCUCCCUGUCUCCGGGUAAAUGAGUGCGACGGCCGGCAAGCCCCCGCUCCCCGGGCUCUCGGGGUCGCGCGAGGAUGCUUGGCACGUACCCCGUGUACAUACUUCCCGGGCACCCAGCAUGGAAAUAAAGCACCCAGCGCUGCCCUGGGCCCCUGCG